UACGUAGGGGGCAAGCGUUGUCCGGAUUUACUGGGCGUAAAGGGCGCGUAGGCGGCCAGCACAAGUCAGUUGUGAAAUCUCCGAGCUUAACUCGGAACGGUCAACUGAUACUGUGCGGCUAGAGUGCAGAAGGGGCAACUGGAAUUCUUGGUGUAGCGGUGAAAUGCGUAGAUAUCAAGAGGAACACCUGCGGCGAAGGCGGGUUGCUGGGCUGACACUGACGCUGAGGCGCGAAAGCUAGGGGAGCGAACGGG
rnacentral:rRNA from 1 species